ensembl:lncRNA
UCCCUCUCCCCAGCCCUUGCUCCCUCACCUCCUAGUUUCUGAAUCGAAAUCACCUUGGCCUCCAGACGGGAAGCUACCUGGAGGCCCUUGGUGCCUUCCUGGGCAAUCCAAUCAGAGGUCAUUCUAGGAGCAGGAACCCUCAAGGUCAGCCUCCACCUUCCCGACUUCAGAACCCCUUGCCGUCCCGACCCUCGCACCAUCCUGCCUCUGUGAGCCUGCCCGAGCCUGUGCCUGAGGAAGGGCCGGCAGCACCUGGGCCCCUGCCUCUGUAGUGGUUGAGAGGAGCAAAAGCUCUGCCUGACACUGGGCUGACCUUCCUUUCCCGACCAUGUCCACAGGAAGGCUCCUCAGAAAGGUGCUCUGACUGGCUGUGAGGUCUGCCAAGCAAGGGCCCUGGUGCUGCACAUGUCGCUGAGACCCAACAGCCAUAUACAGAAAUAGUAAUUGGCAAGUACUUAGGGAGCAUUUAUACCUCCCCAUUAACUCACAGUCUUCAUAACAAGCCCCUAAGAGAGACGUUGACCUAUCUGUUAACAUAGACCUCGGCCAUCUGUGACAAGGACAAGGCAGAGAAACCCGUCCUAAGAGUGUCUGUGUUGACUCUGCGAAGACUCCAACCUGGGAGUCAGGCAAAUGCUCCUUCUGUCUGCUGUGCCCAGGGCCUGGCUUGCUGCUCUGCUCUGCCCUCUCCGAAAGGACCUCCUGUGUGAUCUGGACCCUAGAAUACGGUGCCUAGGAUGAGAGAUGUGUGAAGGAGGAGAGCAAGGAAAGAGAAAAGAAAAGGAACAAUGAGAGAGACUAGAGAAUCAGGUCCCUUGUGAACUCAGGAACAAGGAUAACAGAAAAAAUGGUCAUUUAUACAUUUUAAUCAGGAGUUCAAAUCUUUCGGCUGAAAGUAAUAGAAACACAACUGUAAUUAGCUUGAGCCUCAAAGGGGACAAUGUUGGCUCACAGAAGCUGACCAUGGGGACAGCAGAGAGGGAACAACUGGGUUCAGGGAGUGGAUACCCUGGGGACUCAUCCUCUCCUCUUGGCUGUUAGUUCCCCCACAGCUCUCAGGGCUGUGCCAGAGGAGGGAGCUCUGCCCGCCAGCUCCAGGUAGAAGGUUCUGGCAAACAGCGACACCAUUUUUCCGUUGUCUGGUUUCAGAAAUGUUAAACCUUGAUACUCUCAACCAUUGGUGAAGGAAUGGGAAAACAGAGACCCUAAUGCUCUAAUAUACUGCUGGAGGGGGUACAAAUGGUCCCAACCACUUUGGGGAGAAAUUUGACUACCUAUUAUGAUUUUAAAUGUGGGUACUAUUGAUUUGAUGAUGCCACUUCUCAAAAUCCAGACCAGUAACUCUCACACAUGUGCAUAAGGAAAUAUAGGCAAGGAUGUUAUUUGAGGUGUUAUUUGUAGCACAAAAUUAGAAAUAACUAAUGUCCAUUUUUAUGGUAUAUUUCACACUCUGAAAAUAUGGAAACUGUUAAAAAGAAUGAAAUGUCUACUGACAUAAACCCCGAAGCUGUCUUGAUAAAUGAAAAAAAUAAUUUGCAGAAUGAUACAUACAAUAUGGUAUCACUCAAGCGUAAAUGAAAACAAAAACAAAAGCUUGAAAUAAUAAUAGAUAUGUCUACAUGUAUGUUUAUAACGUAUAUUUCUAAAUGUCUCCAAAUGCGUAGAAGACGGUCUGGUGAGGGACUGAGAUUAGGAGUGAGGAUUGAAGGAGACUGUCAGGUGUGAAUUUUUUCGGUGAUGACAUAUUUAUGUAUAGUUUCUGUAUUUAGAAUUAGAAUUUAAAAGGAAAAAGCUAUGGAAGCAUUCUGAUUGGUUCAACUUGGGUCACGUGACUGUUCCUAGCCCAAUCCAUGUGGCCAAGGGGCCUCUAGGGUUCUAUGACUGGCGCCAUCUGGGUUACCCACUCACCCCUGUGAACACUGGAGCAAUACCCAUGAUCGGCAGCUCCUACUAUCAUUACGUGUUAUAGUGGGGAGGGAGCAAUUACCCCAAAGAAGGGAGGUGCUGUGCUGGGGCAGACAAAAUGGUAAAUCUCCUCUAUAGUGAAAGCAUUUGGGC